AAACGAAAAAAAAAAAGAAAAAAAAUCCAUCAUCUUCCUCCCUCCUCUGACGUCGCUCCGAUUCCAAUCUCUGCACAGCUCCUCGAACUCAGAUCUCAGUCUCCCUCUGCUCCACCAGCACUCGCGGAGAGAGGCAGAGAAGAUGGCGGCAUUCACGAAGCUCGAGGACUCGCCCAUGUUCCACAAGCAGAUCUUUUCUCUAGAACAGAUGGCGGAGGAGUUGAAAGAGCGCUGCCAGCAUUUAUACAGAGGCUCCACGAAAUUUGUGGCAUCUCUUGAGAAGCGUGUAAUGCAGACACAACAUUCGCAGAUUCCUUGGAAGCAUUUGGUGGUGGUCAGGAUGAUCCAGUUAGUGUAUCAAUAGGAGGUCCUGUCAUAUCCAAGUUCAUAUCAGCAUUUCACGAGCUUGCUUCUUACAAAGAGCUUUUGCGUUCUCAGGUGGAGCAUGUAUUGGUUGAUCGCUUGACGCACUUUAUAAAUGUGGAUAUGCAAGAGGCGAAGGAAUCACGACGACGCUUUGACAAAGCUGGAUACUCUUAUGAUCAGGCCCGUGAAAAGUUUGUAUCUUUGAAGAGGAGUACAAGAGGAGACAUUGUUGCUGAACUAGAAGAGCGAUGACAGGG